GGAUUUGCAAUCCUCUGCCUUACCACUUGGCCAUGUCGCCGUUUUUUUUUUUUUUUAAAUUAAAAAAA
rnacentral:tRNA from 1 species